AGCAUAUCAAUAAGCGGAGGAAAAGAAACUAACAAGGAUUCCCCUAGUAACGGCGAGUGAAGCGGGAACAGCUCAAAUUUGAAAUCUCACGGGUAUCCCGUGCGAAUUGUAGUUUAGAGAAACGUUUUCGGGAGUGGCAUGGGCAUAAGUCCUUUGGAAUGAGGCAUCAUAGAGGGUGAGAAUCCCGUCUUUGGUCCGUUGUCCUCUCCUGUGUGAUACGUUUUCAACGAGUCGGUUUGUUUGGGAAUGCAGACCAAAAUGGGUGGUAAAUACCAUCUAAAGCUAAAUAUUGGCGAGAGACCGAUAGCGAACAAGUACCGUGAGGGAAAGAUGAAAAGAACUUUGAAAAGAGAGUUAAAUAGUACGUGAAAUUGCCAAAAGGGAAACGCUUGGAACCAGUAUUGCCUGCAUGUAAUCAGCGGUGCCUCAAGCUCCGUGCACUUGCAUGCUGGCAGGUCAACACCAGUUUGGCUUGAGGUAAAAUCCGUGGGGAAGGUGGCCCGGGGCUUGCUCCGGGUGUUUAUAGCCCCCCGUGAUGCCUUGGGUUGGACUGAGGGAUGCAGCGUUCUUUGGGUAACUGGUUGCCGACCGAACUUGCUACGUAGACAGCAUGCUGAUUGCGUGGCGAUGUAGGGCGCUCGAUCGGGGUUCCACACCAACGCUUCGGAUGUUGACGAAAUGGUUCCAAACGACCCGU
rnacentral:rRNA from 1 species